rnacentral:tRNA from 1 species
CUUUUUUUUAAAUUAAUUUCCCAUGUACAAUACAAUUAUUAUUACAUUAUUACAAAAGAAAUAUUUUAGCUAGAGAACCACUAAAAACCUUCGCAGGCUUUUGUAUAUCUAGGCCACUAGUCAUGUUCCUAUUUAGAUUACUUUAUUAUUUACAGUAAUUAUUAAAUGGAGAUAAUAAUGCAGAAGAAAAGUUUUAUAUGGUAUAAAAGAUAUUUACAAAUUUGAAGUAUGAAGGAUAAAAACUGUAGUGUUUACGAUAUUAAGAUAAAGAGAUAUACCAUAGUUAGAUUUUUAUAUGGUAUUAUUUUGUACAAUGACAAUGUAUGGACAUUGUCUGCAUAGAGAAAGUGUGUUUUCUGAAUCUAUGUAUUCGUAAAUUGCUUAAUUAGUUUCUUGAAGGUAUUAUAGAAACUUAAUUAACUUAUGUCUUAUACAGAUUUGUUUCUAAUUUGUUCCACACAUCAACUCCUUUAUUUGAAAGAGUGUGUUUUACAUAAUUUGUUCUCUUAUAACAUUUAAAAAGUUUUGAUGCGUUUCUCGUAUUAUGUUGAUGAAUUUGUUGUUUGUAACGAAGUAGUUAGUAAAAUAUUCUGGUAAAUUUUUAAGACGAUGAUAUCGAAACAUAAAUAAAGCAGUUAAAUAAUUAAUUUUAAAAAUAUCUAGUAUAUGUAAUUCUUUGAAUAUAGCCUUAGUAUGUUCCAAGUACGACUUAAAUGUCAUUAGACGUACAAUUGUUUUCUGGAUAUUCAUUAUUUUAUUAAUUCGGGUUUUGUAUGUACUACUCCAAAUUAAAUUGCCAUAAAUCAGAUAUGGAUAGACUAGUGCAUCAUAAAUUAGUUUGACAGCAUUUCGGUUUAAGAAAUGUCUAAUUUUAGCUAUUAUUCCGGGCAUCUUUGUUAGAAGAUCUAAAUAAAAUGAAUUUUGUCUUUUGGAUAUUUAGAGAUAAUUUAUUGACGUUUAACCAUUCUGUAACUUUGUUAAUUUCAGUUUGCAAGAUUACAUUAAGCGAUUUAAGACAGCUGUUGCUAUAAAAUAUAUAUUAUAGUGUCGUCAGCAAAUAAUAUGAACGAAACUAAUUUGCUGCGCUGUUCAAUGUCAUUUAUGUAAAGCAAAAAUAGAGUUGGUCCAAGAAUUGAUCCAUGUGGGACCCCGAUUCAAAUCACUAUUUCAUUUGACCUAACUUGAUCGUAUUUCACUAUUUGUUUUCUAUUUUUCAAAUAAUCUUCAAACCAUAGUUGUGUUAUUCCCCGUAAACCAUAGUGUUCCAGUUUUUUUAAUCAGAAUCUUGCGAUUAAUGGUGUCAAAGACCUUUGACAAGUCAAGAAAGAUUGAUAUAGUGUAUUCACUUUAAUCGAUUGCUUGAUAAUAGUACGUUUGGAUCUAACCACAAUUAUCAUGUGUGUUACUACUGACUUUAACUGCAAGUCUCGGCAUGCAUGUUUUGGCAUGCAUGUUUUGGCAUGCAUGUCUUGUUGAUUUUUUUGUAUUAAGAACUGCAUUUCUGUAUAUGUAUGUUGCUCUGGUAGCUUGUGCAUGAUAUAUAUGACAUUUGGUGUAAAUGCGUAUCAAGCCUAUACUCAGAGAAGUUCUCACUGUUAAAAAUUUUGAAAAUCCAUAGGUCAUAGAAUGGAAAUUGUAUGGACCUUAAGAAAAUAGAAUGGAUUUUGGUUAUCCAUAGUAAUUGUAUAUUUCCAUACAAUGGAUAUAAUAUGGGAAUAGUAUGGAUAUACUAUGGACAUCGUAGUAUGGAUUUCACAUUUUUUUCCAAUGUCUGAGCCCUAACGCGAAUCGAACCACGCGUAACCUAGCCUCUGAUAACCGGACAGACGCUCUAACCAUUGAGCUAUAUAAGGUCUAUAUACUGUUUCAUUUUCUAUACUGCUUAUACAGUCGAACCCCUAUUAAGCGGACACCUUCGGGACCUCGCCUAAGUGUCCGCCUAAAAGGGGUGUCCGCUUAAAAGGGGUAAGUAGAAAAACACAGCAGGAGGCAAAGGUGUGUAAUUAGGUGUGUAAUUUGAGUAUCAUCAUGGCUGGCGGCUCACAGUCCUCCGUCCUCGUUCGUCACUUCCUCAAUAAUCUUGGCUCUGAUGUCUUCGCGCCAAGUUGGUGUGUCACUGUCAAUGGGCC